UCAUACAAUUUCCAAAAUAUUUCAUGAAAUAUGUGAAUGGGCUUAAAAUGGUACAUGAUGUCCAUUUAAGCCCAUGGGUUUUCCAAUUGAGCCCACUUUUUGAUUAAUUGAAAAAUAGACAUUUUAUUGUUUAGAAUUAGGAAAACAUUUCCAACAUGACUGGUAAACAAUUUAACAUUUACAGCAACACAUAAAUUCAUUCUAUAUUAUGUAAUACAUCAGUAGGUGAACAGUUACGCCUAAUGUUGAGUGAACAUCCUAAAUACAUUUAUCAACAUUAGAACAUUUAAAAUAUGCAUUAAUUACAUUUUAUGCAUUUAAAUACAUUAAGUUUACAUUCACAUUUAAAAAAAAAAGAAAAAAAAAAAACUUCUCAAAUAACAGUGAACAUCUAAUGAAAAAGAAAAAUCUAAUACAGCAUUAAGCCACAAGUAGGGCUGUCACGAUUAUUAAAUUUGGCUGACGAUUAAUUGUCAAACAAAUAAUUGCGGCUGUGACAAUUAAUUGUCUCGUUAAGGGCUUUAGUGAUUAAUUGUCAUACAACUGUCAUGUUUUAGUAAGGUGUGCUUUUUUCUGUAUGUGUGCUUCAUACACCUAAAGAAGUCAUUUUUACAUAUUUAACUUCAAAUAUACAAAUCAAAUAAUAAAAUAGGGAUAAACUACGAUUUCAUUUUAAUGCUUUAAAAACAUAUGAAUGACAAGAAAAAUAUCAAAAUAUUUCUAAAUAAUUGAAAUCUCUCUUUUUGGUCAACUUUAAUUUUACAUUUACACUUGUUUUUGUAACUCAUUUUAUAUUUUGUAAUAAAAUAUAAUUUGUAUAUAUAUUUAUAUUAUGCAGUAGUAAAAUAUUUAUUUCCUAAUUUCUACACUUUAAAAUUUUAUUUUAAUGCUCUGAUUAAACCCACCAACCCUUAUUUGCCAUGAAGCAGAACCUUUGAGAUUUCGUUUCAUCAUUUUAUCACUCCACAGAAAUACAUUAAGUUUGUCUCUUUGUCACUGUGUGUCAUUAACACAGCAUGUAUGAACCAGGAACAUUUGCCAUUACAUGAUCGUUUAAAGUGAAACUGGAGCGCUUUGCGUUCAGUAUCAAAGUUAAUACUUGUUUGUUUGUACUUUCGCAGGAGUUUGGCGCAAGCCUCUGCUGACAGCGCGCUCUUCAGGACAGGAGCUGGUUGACCUCCGCGGUGCGGUUCAGUGAUGCUCGGACUGGAGUUCAAUUGAAUGAUACAGAAGUGCCGUUCAUGGCAUUUAUACAGUAUAUUAGCUUAAACUUCCCUUAUUUGGGCAUUAAAAUUUGAUUGGAAUUUGAAUGCCCAAUAAUCGUAGUUGUCUCAAAUAACAACUGUUAGAUCAAAUAACCGUGAUCAGAUGGUUAUUUAAUAAUCGCGACAGGCCUAGCCACAAGAGACAGUGCGUUACAGUGAUUUCAGCAUGGGAAAGGUGCAUUCUUAGGCCCUGCUCCAAAUGGCACACCUGAUGUGGACUUGUGGUCCGCAAGGGAUUAUGGCCAAAGUAUACUUCUGUUGUCCGUGUUGCUGAUUGGAAUGCGCACAUUAUGCAUCAGGCAAAUUUUGUCACCAGCACAGUCUGCGUGUCCUGUCUGCAUUUACUUUGAAAGUCUGCGUGCUCGACCGUGUGUGAGAUGACCCAGAAUGCGGAUUAACAAAGUAUACCCAGGCCUUUAGUGUUCCAUCUGGGACAGGGUCAUUGGCAUGAGGCGAAGCAAAGUGCCUAAAUCCUUCUUAAUGGGGGUUAAAUAAUUGUAACACACAGACUAGAGUCUUUUUGCUUUUAUAAAACAGUCACAACAGUAAUGUUACAGUAAUGACACCAUGUCCUUAUGUUACAGUGAUUGUACCAUGGAUAAGAGGUGUUUUUUGGCAAACCGCAAAGCUCGAGUGGCUUGUUGCUUUUAUAAAAUGGUGGCACCAGCAAUAUGAUGAAAGACAAAACAUUUUAAUAAGCAGUUCAAUGUAUUAAUAAUUUAAUAAACAAUUAGUACUACAGAACGUGCUAUCCCAUGUGUGCGUUUUAUAGUCAUUUUACAACGGCUUUGAACAAGGCCCAUAUAAUCAGAUUUCAGGGUUGGAUUUUGUUUUAAUAAAAAAAAUAAAAAAAAUAAAAUAAAAAAAAUAUUGCGAGUUGCAUUUAAUGAAAUACAACAAAAAUGUAAAGAGAGCACGGUUAACAUGCUUGAUCAAACCAUUAAUCUGUUACACAAAUUAUUAAUAAUUACCAAAUAAUUGAUCGGACAUAUAAGAAGUAUGUAUUCAUUUGCAGGGUCUCUUUACACCAUUGGUUAUCUACCACAUAUUGUGUGGUUAGGGGAAUGCUUGUACAAGGGCAGUCCUAAACUGAAUUUUGGCUCAUCUGAUUGGCUUGCAAUAAAAAUAACUCGAAUGACAAAUAGGUUUAUUUAAAUAUAUAUAUAAAAAAAUAAAAAAUAAGUGUUUCUUUUUUAUUUUUCUCUUCAAAGAUGAAGGCUUAAAGGGUUCACUUACUCUAAUUAUUAAUUCAUUUAUUUUCGUAUAUCAUUUAUUCGUAGACGCAACCAUUCUACUACAUGACUGCAUUCAAACAGGGGUACUAAAUUGUUUUCAGAGCUUUAUUUGGAUGCAUUUGUACACAAUAUACACUGAUCAGCCAUAAUAUUAAAACCACUGACAGAUGAAGUGAAUAACAUUUAUUAUCGUUACAAUAGCACCUGUCAAGGGGUGGGAUAUAUUAGGCAGCAAGUGAACAGUCAGUUUUUGAAUUUCAUGUGUUGGAAGCAGGAAAAAUGGGCAAGCGUAAAGAUCGAAGCGACUUUGACAAGGGCCAAAUUGUGAUGACUCGACUGAGUAUGAGCAUCUCGAAAAUGGCAGGUCUUGUGGGGUGUUCCCAGUAUGCAGUGGUUAGUACCUACCAAAAGUGAACCAGUGGACAGGGUCAUGGGCAACCAAGGCUCAUUGUUGCGCUUGGGGAGUGAAGGCUAGCCCGUCUGGUCCGAUCCCAUAGAAGAGCUACUGUAGCACAAAUUGCUGAAAAAUUUAACGCUGACCAUGACAGAAAGGUGUCAAAACACACUAUGCACCACAGUUUGCUGCGUAUGGGGCUGUGUAGCCGCAGACCGGUCAGAGUGCCCAUGCUGACCCCUUUCCACCACCGAAAGCGCCUAAAUUGGGCACGUGAGCGUCAGAACCGGACCAUUGAGCAAUGGUAGAUGGUGUCCUGGUCUGAUGAUUCACGUCUUCUUUUAGACCAGGGGUCGGCAACCUAUGCAAUCUAGGUAAUCACUGGCACGCCAGCAACGGCGAGAGGAGCAGACUUUAUUUAUAUAAAUAAAUAUAUUAAUUCCAAUCUACAUCUUGAUGUAAUUCUCAUGAUCACACAGCGUGUUUUCAUGAGCUGAAUGGGAGGCUAAACAAAAAAAUAAGUGACGAGACUGCAGUAUACCCAGCAGACUCGUGCAAUCGUGAGGAUCAUGAGGAAGGAUUACAUCAAGAUGUAGACUGGAAUGCAGAUGCGAAAAACUUAAUAUAAAUAAAAUAGCCUUCUCUCUCCCCGUUCCUUUCGUACUAGUGAUUACAUGAUUACAACAACAUAAGAAAUAUUUAAGAUUCCAUACAAUUUUGUUAACAGUAAUCAAAUAAGCAAAUUUGUGACACUGAAGGUGUUAACUCAUUUUGUACAAAAGGACAGGUUUUCUUUCAUUAAAGCACUUUCACAAGAUGCUCUGUGAAAAUUCACAUGCAGGAUCAUUAUAUCAUAACACUAUGUAACACAAUUACAGUGUGAUGCUCUGGGCAAUGUUCUGCUGGGAAACCCCCCAGUUACACUGGCAUGUAAAGAUUGUUGCAGACCACGUAGACUCCUUCAUGGCAGUGGCCUCUUUCAGCAGGAUAAUGCACCCUGCCACGCUGCAAAAAUUGUUCAGGAAUGGUUUGAGGAACACGACAAAGUGUUCAAGGUGUUGACUUGGCCUCCAAAUUCCACAGAUCUCAACCCGAGUGAGCAUCUGUGGGAUGUGCUGGACCAACAAGUCCAAUCCAUGGAGGCCUCACCUCGCAACUUACAGGACUUGAAGGAUCUGCUGCUAAUGUCUUGGUAACAGAUACUACAGGACACCUUCAGAGGUCUUGUGGAGUAAAUGCCUCGACGGGUCAGAGCUGUUUUGGUGGCACGAGGGGGGCCUACAUGAUAUUAGGCAGGUGGUUUUAAUGUUGUGGCUGAUCGGUGUAGUAUGUGACCAAAACUCUGAAGUAAAGUUCAAACUUGCUGUUUCUGCGCUGAGCUGACAACUCGAUGGAAAACACAAAUACAUCGUUUAAAACGAUAUCGACAUCCUGAAAAAACAUAUUUAACCAUAAAAUCAAACGGAAAAUAUUUUAAA